AUAAAAAAUAAAACUGGAACAAUACAGAGAUGAGUACGGCCCCUGUGCAAAGAUGACAUGCAAAUUCGUGAAGCGGUCCAUAUUUUU
rnacentral:snRNA from 1 species